rnacentral:rRNA from 1 species
UGAGUACGAGACGCUACGGCGUUGAAGCAGUGUAUGUCAGACUUCCAAGAAAAGCUCGCAAUGUCAUAAACAAAUAAUGCCUGUACCAUAACCGACACAGGUGGGUAGGUAGAGUAUACUAAGGGGCGCGAGAUAACUCUCUCUAAGGAACUCGGCAAAAUGACUCCGUAACUUCGGGAGAAGGAGUGCCUUAUUUUUAUAAGGUUGCAAUAACAAGAUCCAAGCAACUGUUUACCAAAAACACAGGUCUCCGCUAAGUCGUAAGACGAUGUAUGGGGGCUGACGCCUGCCCAGUGCCAGAAGGUUAAAGAAGUUGGUUAGCAAUAGCGAAGCUGAUAACUGAAGCCCUGGUGAACGGCGGCCGUAACUAUAACGGUCCUAAGGUAGCGAAAUUCCUUGUCGGGUAAGUUCCGACCCGCACGAAAGGCGUAAUGAUUUGGAUACUGUCUCGGAGAGGGGCUCGGUGAAAUAGACUUGUCUGUGAAGAUGCGGACUACCUGCACCAGGACAGAAAGACCCUAUGAAGCUUUACUGUAACUUGAAAUUGAAAUUGGACUUUACUUGCGCAGUAUAGGUGGGAGGCGUUGAUUUUAUUCUUGCGGGAAUUUAGGGGCCAUCAGUGGGAUACCACUCUGGUAAUGUUAGAUUUCUAACUUUGUAUCAUAAUCUGGUCAAAGAACAGUUUCAGGCGGGCAGUUUGACUGGGGCGGUCGCCUCCCAAACGGUAACGGAGGCGUACAAAGGUUUCCUCUGAACGUGUAGAAAUCGUAUCUAGAGUGUAAAGGCAUAAGGAAGCUUGACUGUGAGACCUACAAGUCGAGCAGGGACGAAAGUCGGUCUUAGUGAUCUGACGGUGCUGAGUGGAAAGGCCGUCACUCAACGGAUAAAAGUUACUCUAAGGAUAACAGGCUGAUCUCCCCCAAGAGUUCACAUCGACGGGGAGGUUUGGCACCUCGAUGUCGGCUCAUCGCAUCCUGGGGCGGUAGUACGUCCCAAGGGUUGGGCUGUUCGCCCAUGAAAGCGGUACGCGAGCUGGGUUCAGAACGUCGUGAGACAGUUCGGUCCAUAUCCGGUGUAGGCGUUAGAAUAUUGAGAGGAUCCUUCUUUAGUACGAGAGGACCGAGAAGGACAUACCUCUGGUGUACCAGUUAUCGUGCCAACGGUAAACGCUGGGUAGCUAUGUAUGGAAAGGAUAACCGCUGAAAGCAUCUAAGUGGGAAGCCUACCUCAAGAUAAGUAUUCUCAUCACGUAAGUGAGUAAGGUCACGGUAAGACUAACCGUUUGAUAGGCAUCAAGUGUAAAUGUAGUAAUAUAUGAGCUGAGAUGUCCUAACAGACCGAGGAC